rnacentral:misc_RNA from 1 species
UUCAUCCUCAGGGAGAACACUAUAUGGAUCCAUCCCUGUUGCAGCAAAGGCUGACAUAGCUUUAGAGAUUAUGUCAUUGACAACCCGAAGCAAAUUUCUAGAUAAGUAGCGUCCUUGCGAAGCAAAGCAUGUGACAAACUUCAUCCUCAGGGAGAACACUAUAUGGAUCCAUCCCUGUUGCAGCAAAGGCUGACAUAGCUUUAGAGAUUAUGUCAUUGACAACCCGAAGCAAAUUUCUAGAUAAGUAGCGUCCUUGCGAAGCAAAGCAUGUGACAAACUUCAUAUCCAAAUAGAACUGCUGAAGACCAAGAUGACCCAAUGGCCUUGGUCCUUCCUCUAUGUCAUCCCAAAAGCUCUGAUCUUGUGAAAGCCACAAGAUGACAGUUUCUGUAAGCCUCAUCAACAACAACAUAGCAAAUCUUUCCCUUCCCACAAACAUAUCAGCAGCUAUGGCAGCCAUUCUGUUUAGUUUGACAUAAAGUUCCUGAAAUAUUAGAGAAGGCGACCAUUCCAUAUCGUCUGCAUUUCCCUCCAUGUUUAUAUACAUUUCUGCAGUGAGAUGGCUGUCCCCUUCCUCAGUGAAAAUAAGAUCCAGAGCAUGUUGCUGACAAAAGCUAUCCUUUAAUCGGUCGACUGAGUUCACCAGACGCUUUUUCCAUUCCCUUUGCUCAGGGUGACGGCUUUGCCUAUCUGAAGCUCUUCGUUGAAGAUCAUCCUUUUGAUUAGCCAAGGGAGCAAGCUUCAUAGCUGCACGUGGCAAUAGUUCGUCCGCCAAUAGAGAUGCAUUUGCAAGCAAAGCAAUUUGUUGAGCUUCAGUCUCAGCCAUUCUAACAAUUUUAUUCCCUGAAUCUUCAUAGCUGGCUUCAUCCUCCAUGGAGCCAGGUAAUGCUCUUACAAGUGUGUUCACGUAUGUAUUAAACACUUGAAAUAGACCUUCCAAAGCUUUCCCUCCCAACUGCAUACUUAGCAAUGGUCCCACGUCCUCAAAGAAAUCCUGAACCAUCAAAUUGAAUCGGUGCGCACUACUUGAAAGUUUAUGCUGAUAUGCCCCUGUAGAACCAGGAACAGCACCAGCUGACCUACCGGAUGCGCGUGUAACAGACGGUGGAUAUGUGAGUUCCCAAUCAUCAGCAGCUGCCAAAGCAGCAGUGCUUUCUUCAAUUCGUUUUAAGUUGGCAUCUAGCGCUUGCUCAACGCUUGGUCUAAAAAGCUUCAGAAGCACAGGACAAAGUGCAAGUCCACGAGCUUCCAACAAGGAACAGUGUCCUAAAGCUAUUUGAACACAUUCUGCAGCAGCACGUAAGCCACCAGCAGCUGCUGAUGAAGUUAAUGCAUGUCUUUUGACCAAAAGUGCAAA